rnacentral:snRNA from 1 species
GGAUGUGAGGGCGAUCUGGCUGCGACAUCUGUCACCCCAUUGAUCGCCAGGGUUGAUUCCGCUAAUCUGGCUGACUAGGCGGGUGUCCCCUUCCUCCCUCACCGCUCCACGUGUGUCCCUCCCGAAGCUGCGCGCUCGGUCGAAGAGGACGGCCUUCCCCGAAUAGAGACGGACUGGUCUUCGGUCGAGGGUAUACGAGUAGCUGCGCUCCCCUGCUAGAACCUCCAAACAAGCUCUCAAGGUCCAUUUGUAGGAGAACGCAGGGUAGUCAAGCUUCCAAGACUCCAGGCACAUCCAAAUGAGGCGCUGCACGUGGCAGUAUGCCUUUCUUU